rnacentral:rRNA from 1 species
AUUGAACGCUGGCGGCAGGCCUAACACAUGCAAGUCGAGCGGAGCGGCGGACGGGUGAGUAAUGCCUAGGAAUCUGCCUGGUAGUGGGGGAUAACGUCCGGAAACGGCCCCUAAUACCGCAUCCUUUAGGUUCGGCCUAGGUCGGAUUAGCUAGUUGUUGGGGUAAAGGCCAACCAAGGCGACGAUCCGUAACUGGUCUGAGAGGAUGAGCAGUCACACUGGAACUGAGACACGGGCCAGACUCCUACGGGAGGCAGCAGUGGGGAAGAUUGGACAAUGGGCGAAAGCCUGAUCCAGCCAGGCCGCGUGUGUGAAGAAGGUCUUCGGAUUGGAAAGCACUUUAAGUUGGGAGGCGUUACCAACAGAAUAAGCACCGGCGAACUUCGUGCCAGCAGCCGCGGUAAUUC